GAUGAACGCUGGCGGCGUGCCUAAUACAUGCAAGUCGAGCGAACAGAUAAGGAGCUUGCUCCUUUGACGUUAGCGGCGGACGGGUGAGUAACACGUGGGUAACCUACCUAUAAGACUGGAAUAACUCCGGGAAACCGGGGCUAAUGCCGGAUAACAUUUAGAACCGCAUGGUUCUAAAGUGAAAGAUGGUUUUGCUAUCACUUAUAGAUGGACCCGCGCCGUAUUAGCUAGUUGGUAAGGUAACGGCUUACCAAGGCAACGAUACGUAGCCGACCUGAGAGGGUGAUCGGCCACACUGGAACUGAGACACGGUCAAGACUCCUACGGGAGGCAGCAGUAGGGAAUCUGCCGCAAUGGGCGAAAGCCUGACGGAGCAACGCCGCGUGAGUGAUGAAGGUCUUCGGAUCGUAAAACUCUGUUAUUAGGGAAGAACAAAUGUGUAAGUAACUGUGCACGUCUUGACGGUACCUAAUCAGAAAGCCACGGCUAACUACGUG
rnacentral:rRNA from 1 species